UUUGUUCUCUAAAUAAGGACUUGUAUGAAUGGCCACACGAGGGUUUGACUGUCUCUUACUUCCAAUCCGUGAAAUUGACCUCCCCGUGAAGAGGCGGGGAUGUAACAAUAAGACGAGAAGACCCUAUGGAGCUUCAAUUAACUGACCCAAAGAGAUCACACAACCCAACCGACAGGGACAACAAACCUCUACAUGGGUCAGCAAUUUAGGUUGGGGCGACCUCGGAGAAUAAAAUAACCUCCGAAUGAUUUAAAUCUAGACUAACCAGUCGAAAGUAUCACAUCACUUAUUGAUCCAAGACACUUGAUCAACGGAACAAGUUACCCUAGGGAUAACAGCGCAAUCCUAUUCCAGAGUCCAUAUCGACAAUAGGG
rnacentral:rRNA from 1 species